GUGAAGAAACUGAGGAAGGCAGAGGCUGGAGACACUCGCCAAUCAGGAACGGGUUUGGAUUCAGGUUUGUCCCUUGACUGUGACUUCCUGUUGCACUGCUGUGGUCAGGAGUCUGCAGGUCGGCUUGGAGCCCCUUCUUCCUACUUGUGGACUCAGUACUCCGUUGUUGCCUCUUUGCUUCUAUCCCAGGGAGAGUCCUUCAAGUGCUGGAUGGGACCUUCAAGGCCCUAAGGUUUUGUGGCUGCAGAGUCAGCUCAGAGUCAUCUGGGCCAAACUCAAAGGACCCACAGAGAAACUGUGGCACAUGGUCCCAGGCUCAGGGCUGCCACGUGGCAUUUUCUCUCUCCUCCUCUCCCUGGCAUUUUUUUUUUUUUUUUUGCAGUUUCUGGGACUUUGGGUUCCUCUCUGGCUCCCACUUUCUCCUAGACUCCCAGGGUCACUGUGACUCUCUAGACCCUCAUCCUCCUCCCACAGCCCAGGCCACUGUCGGCCCUAGCCACCGUCUGGAAUGGGACCUCUGCUGAGCUACUGGGCCUGGUAUGGUGGGCAGCUCUGAGCUCAGCAUCCCCGAGCUCCAUCCUGAGAGAGGACAGACCAGGUCCUAAGUAGGAAGCGGGCAGGUGACCCUGGAUGCUGCCCUCCAGCCACCUGGCUCCUUGGGGAGGGGCUCAGAUGCUGCUCCAGGGCUCCAGAGUGACCAGGGCUGGGGGGUUCUCAGAGCAGCUGCCCAGCCCCUCCUCCAUCCCUCAUUUCCUGGUCUGGACUGGCUGGGCCAUUCCCUGGUCCUGGAGGGGUUGGAAGGGUCCCAUGGGUUGUGCCUCAAGUGGAGGGCAGGACACUUAGUGUGAGGGACACUCAGUCUCACACUCACAAUCUCACACACAAACACCCCUACAGUCUCACUUAUACACGUACACACUCACACAUAUACACUUACACAAACACACUCUCACUUAUACACAAACACACAUAUACACUCACAAACACACUCUCACUUAUACACACACCCACUCAUUCACAUUCAUACCUGCACAUACUCACACAUAUACACACACAUGCACUCUCACUUAUACACACACCCACUCAUUCACAUUCAUACCUGCACACACAUCCACACAUAUACACACACACGCACUCUCACUUAUACACACACCCACUCAUUCACAUUCAUACCUGCACAUACUCACACAUAUACACACACACGCACUCUCACUUAUACACACACCCAUUCACAUUCAUACAUGCACACACAUCCACACAUAUACACUCACAAACACACUCUCACUUAUACACACACACACCCAUUCACAUUCAUACAUGCACACUCAUCCACACAUACUCUUGCACUAUCAUUUUGUUUGUUUUGAGAUGGAGUCUCGCUCUUGUAGCCCAGGCUGGAGUGCACUGGCACGAUCUUGGCUCACCGAAACCUCCGACGCCCGGGUUCAAGCGAUUCUCCCAGCAUCAGCCUCCUGAGUAGCUGGGAUUACAGACAUGCACCACCACGCCUGGCCAAUUUUUGUAUUUUUAGUAGAGACGGGGUUUCUCCAUAUUGGCCAGGCUGGUCUUGAACUCUCAACCUCAGGUGAUCCACCCUCCAUGGCCUCCCAAAGUGCUGGGAUUACAGGCCUGAGCCACUGUGCCUGGCCCCUAUCAUACUCUUACACUCACUCUCUCACACACACUUGAUGUCCCAAAAGCUGGGGCCCUGACGCCUUGCCCCAGUGACACUCCCCCACCCUCAGCCUCAGUCCCCAACUGGUGGGCCCCCUCACUGUGUCUAGAGCUGGAAGCCCCCUUCCCCUCCCCCACUCCUACCCGUCCAUAGCGGUCCACUGCCUGCGGAUCCAGAGCAGACCCCUCUGCCUGCAUCAGAGGCCCACCUCUCCGGAAGAUUCCAGCAUGUCCCCCAUGCCACAUGAAUUCUUUGCCUGUCUCUUCUCUUUGCCUUUGCUCAAGCUGUUCCUCCCCCCUCCCCCCACCGCACACUGUUCCUGGCUGCCCCCACCAUGUCCUAAAACAAAUGCCUGGCCUCCCACGAACCUGCGCCCAUGCUGUCCUCUGCCUCAGGGGACAGCACCAGCAUUCACCCCCUGCCAAGGCAGGGCCCACGGGGGCCUCCUUCACCCUCGGGCCAUGCCACACCACGUCCUGUCCUCUGUACCUCCCCCACAGACUCAGCCAGCCCUCACCAUCUCCCCGGGAUCUCACUGCCACACUCCCAGUCAGCUUC
rnacentral:lncRNA from 13 species